rnacentral:lncRNA from 1 species
UUUUUCCAUUAUGUCCCAAAGGAGUAAGUCAGCUCCCUUCUCCCAGGGCCAACUGUACUAAAAGCCAUUUUGCACCAGCAGAGAUGGAGACGUUUAUCUCCCGGUAACUGUGAGAGCUGCUUUCUGUCCCUCCAGCAUGGAUGGAAAUCAAGCUGUUUACUCAGUGACCACCCUAGGGACUGAGAUGUGGCUCUAAUUUGCUGGCACUUCUGAAACACAUUGCUCGGAUCUCACUUUCUACAACUCUGAAACCAACCAGGAAUCUGUAAAAUUACCUUGCUUCCAUCCUACCCUGGUGGGCUCUGAUCACGAAGUGCAAAUGGAGAGACCAGGACUCCCUGCUUUGGAAAUGAGGGCUACCGCUUGAAAGCGCAGGGCCAUGCCUACAUCGAGUGCCGCUCUGAUGUCACAAAGGCCACCAAGAUGAAUUGCAUCUAUUUUCUUCACAUCUCUGGCAUGCCGAAGUCACAGUUUUCAGUGUGCAAUCCUGACAGCCACACUUGGGAGAGAUGGCUGGAGCAGUCAUCUUUAGAGUUUGAAGUCAUCCUGGGAUACAUUCAUUGCAAGGCCUUUUCUCAAACAAACAGAAUCCCAGAGUGCUCUGAGCCCAGGCUCCGGCUUUGCAGGGAAGAAAAUAGGGCUGAUGCCACCCCGGCUCAAGAGUUCCUUUGUACUCCUUCAGCUGCAGAAGGUGCGAACGCCCUUAGAAAGUUGCAGAUUCAGAAAUAAUGGGCUUCUUGGCUACCCGGCCCCAGUCCGGCCCCUGGGUACCUUUUCCAUCGCCAAAAUGAAGGGCAGGUACCAAACAGAUGGUAACCUGGAAUCAGUUUUCUCCUUACAACAAGCCAAGACCUGGAUGUGAAUCUGGAUGAACUGAUUUGAUGUUGGUCAAAAAUGUAAGUUCAAAGAGAAGAAAAAAGUCUUCAUUUUCUUCCUCCUCAAAGCCCAAGGAGAACAUCUGGUACAGAACAGCUGUCUGUCUGGCUCUCCACUCUGCCUACGUGGUUCUGAAGCUGCUCAGUUAGUGGAGUUGUACCAUUUGCUGAGCCCCAAACACCAACACCAAAUACUCCCAGCUUUAAAAAGAAAACCAUCCUCCACCUUGUUCCAGACUGUCCACAAUCCCGGCCAUGCUCCUUUGACACGUUAUUUUUGUGGGUGUUCCACUUCACCCACAAUAACUGAAGCUGAACGAGUCUGUGCUGGGGUCUGUACUCUUAGGGGAGGGGAGUGGUCAGUGCUUCGCUUUGCUAGCCAUGGCUUAUCUUCAUGCUCAGCAGCCCAUGGCUUACCCUUAUGCUCAACUGGCCUGGAUUUCCACAGCCCCAGGAGAAAGACCUUUGGGCACAUCUGUGGGGCGUUUCUAGAUCGUGUUAACUGAAGUGGGAAGAACCAUGUUAAAUGUGGGUAGCACUUUCCCCCAUGGCCAGGGCUCUAGGCUCAGUAACAAGGAGAAAGUGAGCUGAGCUCCAGUAUUCACGUCUCUUUGCUUCCUGACUGCAAAGGCAAAGUGACCAGCUGUCCCAGGCUCCCGCUGCCACAGCUGACAGCCGCUUCUGAUGCUAUGCCUUCUAUGCCUAAAAUAACCGUCAUCCCUGACAUCGCUUCCUCUGGGUAUUUUAUUACAGCAUUACAAGUAAAGUAACUCAUAGGCUGCUGUUAAAAGACGUGUUUUAUGUCCGUCAUCCACUGCGGCCCUGCCUGCAUCUGUAUCCACAGAGCCCCUACCACCAUGUCUCAGUCACUAGAUUUCAUUCAUCCUUCCUGUCUGUUGAGACAUCAUUGCUUCCAACUUCAGGUCAUCUCUGGCCACAAAGAAGUGACAGUGACCUCGGACUGGAUGCUUAUAAGCAGUGGGCUACAGGUCAAGCAUUUUCUGUGUUGUUACAUUUAGUGAUCCAAGCAAGCCAGUAGGGAGGCAGGGUUACAGUUUCCUACAGCUUUACAGUCAGGUCAUUGGGGGAUUGUAAAGUGCCUUCAUUUGUCACAUUAGGUCAUAAGUACCAGUGAGCAUUCUGAGGCCUACAAGCUGGAGAACACCAGUAGGUAGCGCUUAAGGGCAUACAAGCUACAAAUGAAAAACCGCGAACAGAAUGGCAGUCAAUCCAGAGAAUCCAAGCUCCCAAACUGGUCCCCCAGCCCAGCUGAUGUCAUCGGGAUCCAUCUGCAGUUUUCCUGCGACCCUUUUGUCCAAGGGACAGAUGACUAGCCUCCUCAGGUACCCUGAUUUAAAAGGCAGGGAUGCCUGGUUCAUUGCUUCUACCCCCGUCAUUCAGCAGCUCAGAAAACAUUUUUUAAAAAUGAAGUAAAGCUGGCUCUUCCUGAUUUUGGCAAGCCCGUGCUGGAUUCGCCUAACCUCUUCUUUAUCCCUUCAGUUCUCCAACACAGCGUUAGAAAUGGUCUGGAAACACGAGGACUGAGGCUCCAGAGGCUGACUCUGGUAAAGGGUUCCAACUAGGUCAGGACUGUGGUACAUGCCCACCUACCCUAUUCAGCAAGUAGGACUGGGGGUGAGGAAGAGGUACUCCUCGUGGAGCGGGGUGAGAAGGCAUCAGAGGGCCCGACUGGUGAGAGGGACGCUGCCGAGGCCUGUGUAUUCCCUUUCCCGUCCUAGAAUUUUGGAGCUUUAGGGCUGCAAGCAUGGCAAAUUUGGUUGCUGUUUCAGUCCAAAUGUGGCAUGACUUCAGGACCUCCAAGUGUCCUGUCUCUCAUUUGAGGAGGUAGGAUUAAUGGCAUUCAUUACCAUCUCAUCUCAGAGACACAAAACAUCCCAGUUCCUUCCAGAUCUAGCUUUUAAAGGACAUGGCUUCCUUUGGCUCUGUGGUUACUGUUAAGAUGUGUAUGCAUUGUUAGAAGAAUCAACCCAGGAAAGCUGGGUGCAGAUCUUUCUGAGGGCAUUCACUCACUGGCUUGGUGAUCGGCACAGUGUCCCCCUUCUCUGUGACUGGCUCCUCAGAUGUCACCCUGACUCAUGAGUUAGCAGAUAGCCUGUGGAUCCUGCUGAAUAGUGAGGGCACCCUCUAGAACUCAGCUUCCUAACCUAUAGGGUAGAGUAGCGAUGUAACUGAACAAAAACAAAUCGGCAACAGUAAAAGGUUUCUGAAGAUGUGUGAUAGCCAGAGGUGAACUAGAAAUCAGAUGUGUACCGAAUACCAGCUGUUUAUGGCUACACUCGCCAUGUUUCGUCUUAUGAUGGCACUGAGUCCUUGGUUGUGAACAUACAACAUACAUGCUUUGCUUUGCAUGUGUGGGCUACUGCACACACUACAAACACCCAGCUUAAUUAGUGAUUUUGUAUAUUAUGAUUAAUACAUGUUAUGAAUUCUAGUGUCUUUCAUUAUCCAUGCAAAAAUCCAGAUCUCACGGAAACAAAAUGGUGUAAUUACAGAGGACAAAGACUUUUAAUAUUUGCCUACCAGCGUUGCUCAGCACAUAAGUAUCAAAUGACUAUACCUUUGAAUUGUGCUAGGUUAGGAUGUUGGAUUUUAAAAGUUACUAUCUGAGUGGGUGACAGGUUUCAUAUAAAACUGUUAACUGAAGUUUCACUUGGGGUUAAGAUAGGAUUCCCUACAGCUUCUGAAAUGGCCCUAAACAUCUGUCUGCCUCUUAGUCUUGUGUAUUUACUAUAUCUGAAAAAUGUUGAAGAUGCUGUGUGACUUAAGAAAUCAAACUCUCAGCCAAGGUUUAAAUCUUUAUAGUUAUGAAAGAAUAAACUAAUACACCUGUC